GUUAGCUAAUUAUGUUGCAAUUAUAUAUACUUUAAUUUUCAUUCAACAACCAUACUUCAAAAAUUUAAACAUUAAUUAGUCACCACUUUGUAUAUACAGGAAUCAGUGAAUAACUCAUUAGUGAACCUGAAGACAUAUCCAUAUGUUGAUAGAGAAAUAAGGAACAAGAACUUAGCUCUGUUGGGAGGUUACUAUGAUUUUGUGAGUGGAGAAUUCAAGCUUUGGAAGUAUAAGAAUCAUGUCACUGAACCUGUUACCAUCCCUCUAAAAGGCCUUGACAUGACCAUCUAAAUCCUCAAGGAAUGAAGCUUUGAACCACUAUCUCAACUCUCAAGUGACUAGUUAUUUUAUACUAUGUACUUUUGUUUUCGGUUGUUCUUGUCUAAUAGUUUGGUUGUAAGGAUAUUUUAUGUGAAAUUUGGAAUCAUUAUAAUGUCCUUUUUCCGUGUUUAUUUGAGUAUGUGUUGGUCUUUAGGCCAAUAAAAAAAACUAUGUACUUUUAAAUUCUAAUUAAAUAAAUAAUUUGAGAGAUUUCAAAAAUAAUGUAUUUAAAAUUAUUAUAUUUCCAUGGGUACUUUAUUAGUAUAACGUUUUUUUUAUAAAAACCAACAUUCAUCAUGUAUGUUAGUAAAUUUCCAGAUAUUAAGUUGGCAACGACCAUUAGUGAACAAAAUAAAGGGUAUGUUAAAUUUAAAUUAUUAUUCUUUUGAUAAAUGGGCGAAGUUAAACUGAUGUGAAGUAUAAUAAAUAAUUUGGGGGCGUUUGUUUAUACUCAAUUUAUUUCUAGGAAUAACAACAUAUCUGAAAAUAUAAAGUUAUGAAUUUGAUUCCUAAAUAUUUCUAAAAAAAUAUGUUUGGAACACUCUUUUAACAUUUCUUGGAAAUUUAAAAGUUAUAUAUUUUUAUUUAAAAAAGGUAUAUAAAAUUCUAUAGGAAUCUACUUUCUCACCCUUUAACAUGGAAAUAAUUUCAUGAGAAUAUUCAAAGUUAUAAGAAGUUAUUUCAUUCUAAAAAAUCGUUAUAAUCCGGAUUAAUUGUUUCUCAAUCUUCUAAGAAACAUAUGUAUACUCAUUAUCUACCUAAGUAUUCCCAAAAUGUAAUUGAUAACCUUCAAACAAACAUUAAUUCGCCUGAUUAAGAGAUUAAUCCUUUAUUGUCGCAAUAAACUUCUAGCUCUAGCAGUGGAUAAACAUGCACUCUACUUUAUUCACUAAGAAACUUAUGAUUAAGAAAUUUCAGACAUGCUUACAUGCCAUAACAUAUAAUUUACUCCCAUCUUAUUUAUAAGAAAUAUUUAACUUUUUUAAUUUAUUGUAUAAAUGAUGUAUUUGGUCUAUAUUCUAGACAAGAUAUAUUAAUUACACAAUAAAUUUAAAAGGUCAACUUUUUCUUAUAAAUAGGACCGGAUAGAGUAUCACCCUAUUCUCUCUGAUUCUUUGGCUUUGAAGGUAUAAAUGGAUGUAUCGGGGUACACAAUAUUUUAUUUAUUUAUUUAAUAUUUCAUCCGUUUUAAAAUGGGUGUCGUUUUAGCAAAUUGCACACAAAUUAAGAAACGAAAUGAAAUAAUCAUUAGACAUAACACUUUUACUAUACUGCUCAAGAAAAAGACAAACUUAAAAUUGCAUUGAAAAUUGUGCGAGAGAAAAGUUUGAGUAUUUAUUAAGGGUAAAGUUGGGAGAAAAAAAUUAAAGUUGUAUUGGAAAUGUAAAAUGACAUUUAUUAUGAAACGGAUGAAGUAUUUUUUUAGAUAUUUAACAGUAUUCCCACCUAGAUGGUCCCCAUUUCCCUCGUUCUCAUCUCUGCAAAAUUUAAGAUUAACCGACUAACAACCGUUAUUUUAAUUCAAGCUAGCAAACACAAAAAUUCAUUGCAUACAUUCUUAACUAAGUCAUAGUCUCUAAGCACAUGCAUGAUGGUUUCCGGUGCUUGAGAGCAUCUUGGACAAACAUAAGUAUCUAACAUACGUACAGCGAUGCUUUCUUUCAGCAUUAGUUAAGAACUUCUCAUGAGAGAGCUUCCAAAGGAAGGUAUAUAUUCUGGAAGGACCUAUCCAUUUCCGCACUAAGUUGAAAUUAGGACCCUCUAUAAGGUUGGGUUCCUCAGGAAUCAUAGCAUGGUAGGCAAUUGAUAGUAAAGAAACCAUUAUUAGAAAAUUUCCAUAUUGAAAAAUCAUCAUGCCUCUCGUGGAAAGAGGUUUAUGAGACUUGCUAUUUUGGUGCAAAUGUGAAUAGGAAGAAUUUGUUUUAAUUAUAGACCAGUUCUGAUCAUCAAUGACAUAGGCACUAACAUUAAAAUUAAUAGCUUAUUAGGAAAUGGAUAAAGUACAUAGAUAUCAAAUAAUAUCUCAAUAUUUAAAUGUAUCAUAAUAUUGUUUGGUAACACCCAAAAAAAGCUUUUAGUUCUUAGCUUAUAGCUUAUAAGCUCGUUUGAUAAAAAAAAAGUUUUGUUUGGUAACACUUUUUCACCAUGAGCUUAUAGCUUAUUUCACGAGCCAUUUUUCAGAAGCUAUUCCAAGUAGCGUUUGAGCUUAUAGCUUAUCAUUUUUAAUUCCAAUUUUACCCUUAUUAUUCUAACUAAAUUCCAUUUUUUACCCUUAAUCAUUUAUUAUAUUAUAAAUAAAAUACAUAUGUUUUAAAUAUGAAUGCUAUUUUAUUUUUUUUUAUGAAUGAAAGAUCCUUUUUUUUCAAUAGAAAAAGAUAUUCUUUUACCGUUACGUUUAAGUUUUUUUUGUGGGACUAUUUCAAUAUUUAAUGUCACCUUUUUUUUUUUUUUGCGAAAUGACACGUUAUUUUUGUGUGAUAUACCAGAAUUGUAGAGAAUAAGAACAAAGACAAUAAUUUUCUCCAACAAAAAAAAAAUGAGAACGUUACGUUUACCUUCACUAUAUAUAUAUAUUUUGUACAAACUAUAUUUUAUUUAUUGUUACGUUUAAAAAUUUUUACACUUUAUAUCUAAUUUUUUUAGGCAAAUGAAAAUAAAUAUAAAUUAACAUUUAGGAAUUAAAAAUUAAUUUAAUUAUAAUAUUAAAUUAAAAAAAUUUAAUUUUUAAAUACUUUAAACAUUAAUUGAUAUUAACUUUAUUAUGAAUUAAAAAUAUCCUUUUAUGUAAUUUUACAUCUAUCAGCUAAUUGAACUGCUAAUUUUACCAAACACUUCAAAUAGCUUAUCAGCUACUAGUCAUCAGCUAUAAGCCAUCAGCUAUAAGUUAUCAGCUAUCAGCCAUAAGUUAUAGUUAUAAGCUAUAAGCUAUCAGCUACCUUAUCAGUCAUCCACUAUUUUUACCAAACAGAGCCAUAGCUGAUUUAUUUAACCAGAUUUCAUUAUUUUGAUAUUUGGGAAGUUAUUUAAAGAAUAAAUACUAUGGUUAAAUAUUCUUUUGGUCAAUAUAAAUAUCCCAAUUUUUCCUUUUAAUUCUUCUAAAAAAAUUCUUCGACUUUUAGUCCCUCAAAAAUCUUUCAUCACCAUUUUUGUUCUCUACUUUUAAGCCAACUCGUGUGUAUCAUUCGAAAUUUUAAAUUUUUUCACAGUCAUGUUUAGAAUAAUAUUAGAAUCUCUUAAAAAAAUCGAAUUUUUUCACAAAACAUUAAUUAAAUAUGAAUUUUUGUGUUUUUGGCGCAUCAAAAUUCAUAUUUAAUUAAUGUUAUGUUAAAAUAAAAAAAAAAACAAGUUUUGUAGAGAGGAAAUUUGAAGGGUACACAUAACAUGACUUAAAAGAAAGGAUCAAAAUUGUGAACUGGAAACUUUUGGGGGAUUAAAAAUCGAAGUUUUUAGAGGGACUAAAAUGAAACUUUGAGAUAUUUAAAAGACCAAAAACAUAUUUAAUCCUUAAUAUUAUUAUAUAUCUAAGUAUAGAGAUAUAUUAUUUGAUGUCUUUGUAAAAUUAUUUCAUAUUGCUAAUGCAUACAAAAUAAACUUAUAUAGUACACACAUUCUAGCUCACCUGGUAAAAAUAUUAAAAUUGUUAGAUCAGACGUCGGAAUCAAGACUCAAACCUCGGAUUCUAUCUACCCAAAAAAAAAUCUCAUAAAUAUAUUAUUAUUUUUCAUUAAAAAAAUCAAGUCCUUUUUUAUCUUUAUUUUUAGAAGAAGUCCUUUUUUUUUAUCAAUUUGUAAAAGAAGAGGUCAAUUUUUUUUUGGUACAAACAAUGAACGUGAUUUUUUGAAUGAAAAAAACGACUAGACUUUUCUUAUUGAAAAAAAUAAGAGUCUACGUGUAUGAGCUUUUUUAUUUACAAAUUGACAAAUAUAAAAAGACUUGAUUUAAUGUAUGAGUUUGUUUGACAAAUGAAAAAAAAAAAACGAGGUCUUUUUAAAAAAAAUUGACAAAUAAAAAAAGACUGUAUUUGAUGUAUGAGUUAAAAAAAAAAAAAAAAACUAAUACAUUAAAUCAAGUCUUUUUCUCUUCCAUUAAUUAAAAAUAGUGUACAUGAACCGAUAUUGAACCUCAGCUUUCGUUCCUGUGACAGUGUAAUCACAUUUUUUUUUUUUUUUUUAUCAAGACAGUGUAAUCACAUUUUACAAAAGAAAUAUUAUUUCUUGAAUGGUCAUUUAACAAAAGAAUUAUUAAAUGGUAUAAACAUAAAAAUUUGACUUUUGAUGUAUUUAUAAUAAUCUACUACAUUUCUGCAGUAAAUCAAAUAAUGAUAUAGCAAACACUGCAAAUUCUUUCUUUUGGUAACAGAGAGAAGGAGGAACUUAAUGGGGUGGCCACAGCAAAAAUUGAGCAGCUUAUAGUUGAUCCUGCUGAGCAGAGAAUAAUAGUUACCUACUUCAAGCUCAACAAUUUCGAGUAAACUUGAAAAUUAAAUAAAAUUUUAAUAUGAUGCCUAUAGUUAGUUCAUAUUCAAUAUCAAGUCUUUUAUAUCCCGGAUUCAUGGUUUAUGAGUUCCGGUAAUCUCCAAAGGUGAUCAAUUAUUAGAGUUUGAUUUAUACAAAAAUGUAUGUAUCUCUUUUUGUUUCAUUUAAUUUAUUAGAAAUUUAAUUUUCAAUUUCACUUAUGUGUUUUAGUUUAUGGUAUUUGCUUGCUCUGACUCUAGAGUGAGUCCCUCUAUUAUCCUGAACUUUCAACAUGGAGAAGCUUUCAUGGUCCGAAACAUUGCUAACAUGGUCCCUACAUUUAAUCAGGUCUACUUCACUGUUUUUCUAAACAAAUGAAUUGAUAUAUGAUAUAUAAAUUAUUAUUGAAGAGUUUUUAAUAAUUAAAUUUCUAUUCCACAGUUAAGAUAUAGUGGGAGUUGGUGCAACCCUUGAGUAUGCAAUUACAGCUCUAAAGGUAAUGUUUCGCUUCUAUUCAUAAGUGUUUUAAAAUUUGUUCGUGAAUGUGACAUAUUAAGGUAUCUAAAUUCAAUGUGACUGUGAUUGAGGCUGCAUCAAUAUCCAUAAUUUUGCCAUAACUUUCUAAAAGAAAAGAAAAAAUCAUUACUUUGUUUUUUGGAUAAAAAUUAAUUAAUAUUUUUAGGUGGAGAACAUCUUGGUUAUUGGACAUAGUCGCUGCGGUGGAAUCUCAAGGCUUAUGCCUUCCAGAGGAUGGCUGCUCCAUAGUAAGACAUGAAUUCUACAUAACAAUAAUCUAAAAUAAAAUUGUUAAUAUUUGCACUUAAUUUUUAUGGUUGAAUUGAAUAAAUGUGCAGUGACUUCAUAGAUGAUUGGGUGAAAAUUGGUUUAUCUUUCAAAGUCAAGGUUCUGAAAGAACAUGAAUGCUGUGAUUUCAAAGAACAAUGCAAAUUUUGUGAAAUGGUUAGCUAAUAAAGUUUCAAUUAUAUAUACUUUUAUUUUUCAUUCAGCAACCAUACUUCAAAUAUUUAAAUAUUAACUAGUCACCACUUUAUAUUUUUUUUUACAAAAGUCACCACUUUAUAUAUAAAGGAAUCAGUGAAUAAUUCAUUAGUGAACCUGAAGACAUAUCUAUAUGUUGAUAGAGAAGUAAGGAACAAGAACUUAGCACUAUUGGGAGGUUACUAUGAUUUUGUGAAUGGAGAAUUCAAGCUCUGGAAGUAUAAGACCCAUGUCACUAAACCCAUUACAAUCCCCUCUAAAAGACCUUGACAUGACUGUCAAAAUCCUCAAGGAAUCAAGCUUUGAGCCACUAUCUCAACUCU
rnacentral:lncRNA from 1 species